CCUAGUAAGAAACAGAAUCUACUUAGCUAAUGCUUCUCCAAGUGUGGUCUACAAAUUGUUAUAGGUAUACAAAGACAUUAGUCAAAAAAAGUAAGAAUAAGGGAUUAGAAAAAUUUCCUUCAGGAGGUCCUCUGUCUAUUUAAACAUGUCUAUCAGAAAAUAUGUCAAAUAGAUAUAAUAUGCUCAUUCUGGAGAUAAAUUCUAAGUUUUCAAGAAAACAGCAAUUUAGCAUUUUCUUCCACC
rnacentral:lncRNA from 1 species